rnacentral:lncRNA from 1 species
GGGAAACUAGCGAGAGGAGAGUGUUACACAAUGCUACCGAAAGUCUGGAUCAAAACUGCACUAAAACACAACGCCGUUGUUAGAUGUCGGUUAGUGCCUGGUCCGACGUCUAUAAGAACAUAAACGUCGGUUAGUGUCAUUUUGAACCUCAAUAUAUAUUCAUGUUGACGUCGGUUUAAGCAAAGGUGGACGUCUAUAUAGAGUAAUUAGACGUCGGUUUGAGUAUAAGCAGACGUCUAUAUAGACGUCGGUGGAUAUCGUUACCCGGC